CAAUAGCGUAUAUUAAAGUUGUUGCAGUUAAAAAGCUCGUAGUUGGAUUUCGGGGCAGCCUGGCUGGUCCGCCGCAAGGCGAGUACUGGUCAGCCGCCCUUCCUCUCGAAAGCCCUGACUGCUCUUUAUUGCAGUGGUCGGGUAGUUCGGGACGUUUACUUUGAAAAAAUUAGAGUGUUCAAGGCAGGCCUACGCCUGAAUACAUUAGCAUGGAAUAAUGGAAGAGGACCUCGGUCCUAUUUUGUUGGUUUCCAGGACCGAAGUAAUGAUUAAGAGGGACAGUUGGGGGCAUUCGUAUUUAAUUGUCAGAGGUGAAAUUCUCGGAUUUAUGAAAGACGAACAACUGCGAAAGCAUUUGCCAAGGAUGUUUUCAUUAA
rnacentral:rRNA from 1 species